rnacentral:rRNA from 1 species
GACGAACGCUGGCGGCGUGCUUAACACAUGCAAGUCGAACGGAAAGGCCCUGCUUUUGUGGGGUGCUCGAGUGGCGAACGGGUGAGUAACACGUGAGUAACCUGCCCUUGACUUUGGGAUAACCUCAGGAAACUGGGGCUAAUACCGGAUAGGAGCUCCUGCUGCAUGGUGGGGGUUGGAAAGUUUCGGCGGUUGGGGAUGGACUCGCGGCUUAUCAGCUUGUUGGUGGGGUAGUGGCUUACCAAGGCUUUGACGGGUAGCCGGCCUGAGAGGGUGACCGGCCACAUUGGGACUGAGAUACGGCCCAGACUCCUACGGGAGGCAGCAGUGGGGAAUAUUGCACAAUGGGCGGAAGCCUGAUGCAGCAACGCCGCGUGCGGGAUGACGGCCUUCGGGUUGUAAACCGCUUUCGCCUGUGGCGAAGCGUGAGUGACGGUAAUGGGUAAAGAAGCACCGGCUAACUACGUG